AACCCAAUGUGAACCAUACCAAACUGUUGCCUCGGCGGGGUCACGCCCCGGGUGCGUCGCAGCCCCGGAACCAGGCGCCCGCCGGAGGGACCAACCAAACUCUUUUCUGUAGUCCCCUCGCGGACGUUAUUUCUUACAGCUCUGAGCAAAAAUUCAAAAUGAAUCAAAACUUUCAACAACGGAUCUCUUGGUUCUGGCAUCGAUGAAGAACGCAGCGAAAUGCGAUAAGUAAUGUGAAUUGCAGAAUUCAGUGAAUCAUCGAAUCUUUGAACGCACAUUGCGCCCGCCAGUAUUCUGGCGGGCAUGCCUGUCCGAGCGUCAUUUCAACCCUCGAACCCCUCCGGGGGGUCGGCGUUGGGGACCUCGGGAGCCCCUAAGACGGGAUCCCGGCCCCGAAAUACAGUGGCGGUCUCGCCGCAGCCUCUCCUGCGCAGUAGUUUGCACAACUCGCACCGGGAGCGCGGCGCGUCCACGUCCGUAAAACACCCAACUUCUGAAAUGUUGACCUCGGAUCAGGUAGGAAUACCCGCUGAACUUAAGCAUAUCAAUA
rnacentral:rRNA from 1 species